CCCGGAGGGGCGGGGCUCUGGCCGGUUUUCCCGCGUUGGGGCGCAGGUCCUGCAAGCUGUGGUAACCUCCUGCCCCGGUGCGAGACCCUCUCCGCACCGGGGAAAAAAGCGACCCCCAAAAUAUUGUAGCCCCAAGUAGAAGCCUUGGAAUACUCUAAAGUCCGUCUCAGAAAAGCAGCGCUUUGGGGGCUCUAGGACGUUCUUUUUACGUGGCUGCACGGUCCUGAGCGAAUGGCGCGAAAGCGUGAGAGCAUGCGUGAACAUACCGCGUUCCUCUCUGAAUGUACUGAAUACAAAAACUUGUGAGCAAGUAAUACGAGAGAACAAUGGAUUGGAAGAAUUGGGAGGGUCUUGGUCGGAGUCUUCGAGCCUUUCUAAAAACACGCCUGCCCAUGGUCACUCUGUCACAGUGCAAGGGACAAAGAACUCACGGUCUCGAAGGGCCUAAGUCAUCUUGCCCACAUCCUGAGUUCCCUCCUGGUCUUCCCUGAGCAACGCUUGCCAUGCUUGUCACACGGAGCUUCUGGAGGGGAACAGAGCGUGCCCACUUCUCGCUCCAGCAAGCAGCCCCCCUCACUGCCCUGCACAGGUGACCACACCUCAGAGAGGUGUGAACUCAAAGAAGCCAAGAAGACGUCAACACAAGCCUUAUGACUAACCUCCCCUUAGUCCUUCAAGAAAUUGAAGACAACCAAGAAGGCUUUCCACCUUCCAAGUUUUUCAAA